ensembl:piRNA 21ur-8072 ncRNA
UGGACCUUCCAAAUUGAAUUU